GAUGAACGCUGGCGGCGUGCCUAAUACAUGCAGUCGAGCGAACAGAUGAGGAGCUUGCUCCUCUGACGUUAGCGGCGGACGGGUGAGUAACACGUGGAUAACCUACCUAUAAGACUGGGAUAACUUCGGGAAACCGGAGCUAAUGCCGGAUAAUAUAUUGAACCGCUUGGUUCAAUAGUGAAAGACGGUUUAGCUGUCACUUAUAGAUGGAUCCGCGCCGCAUUAGCUAGUUGGUAAGGUAACGGCUUACCAAGGCAACGAUGCGUAGCCGACCUGAGAGGGUGAUCGGCCACACUGGAACUGAGACACGGUCCAGACUCCUACGGGAGGCAGCAGUAGGGAAUCUUCCGCAAUGGGCGAAAGCCUGACGGAGCAACGCCGCGUGAGUGAUGAAGGUCUUCGGAUCGUAAAACUCUGUUAUUAGGGAAGAACAAAUGUGUAAGUAACUAUGCACGUCUUGACGGUACCUAAUCAGAAAGCCACGGCUAACUACGUG
rnacentral:rRNA from 1 species